rnacentral:rRNA from 1 species
CAAGUCGAGGGGCAGCGCGGUGUAGCAAUACACUGGCGGCGACCGGCAAACGGGUGCGGAACACGUACGCAACCUUCCUUUCAGCGGGGAAUAGCCCAGAGAAAUUUGGAUUAAUACCCCGUAAGAUGGUGGUGAGGCAUCUCACGGCCAUAAAAGCUCCGGCACUGAGAGAUGGGCGUGCGUCUGACUAGGUAGUUGGUGAGGUAACGGCUCACCAAGCCGACGAUCAGUAACUGGCGUGAGAGCGCGACCAGUCACACGGGCACUGAGACACGGGCCCGACUCCUACGGGAGGCAGCAGUAAGGAAUAUUGGUCAAUGGACGCAAGUCUGAACCAGCCAUGCCGCGUGGAGGAUGAAGGUCCUCUGGAUUGUAAACUUCUUUUAUCUGGGAAGAAAUCACUUUUUUCUAAAGGUGUUGACGGUACCAGAUGAAUAAGCACCGGCUAACUCCGUGCCAGCAGCCGCGGUAAUACGGAGGGUGCAAGCGUUAUCCGGAUUCACUGGGUUUAAAGGGUGCGUAGGCGGAAUGGUAAGUCCGUGGUGAAAUCUCCGAGCUUAACUCGGAAACUGCCGUGGAUACUAUCAAUCUUGAAUGUUGUGGAGGUUUGCGGAAUAUGUCAUGUAGCGGUGAAAUGCUCAGAUAUGACAUAGAACACCGAUUGCGAAGGCAGCAGGCUACACAAAUAUUGACGCUGAGGCACGAAAGCGUGGGGAUCAAACAGGAUUAGAUACCCUGGUAGUCCACGCCCUAAACGAUGAUUACUCGACAUACGCGAUAUACAGUGUGUGUCUGAGCGAAAGCAUUAAGUAAUCCACCUGGGAAGUACGACCGCAAGGUUGAAACUCAAAGGAAUUGACGGGGGUCCGCACAAGCGGUGGA